CGAGGUGUGGCUCAGCUUGGUAGAGCGCUUGGUUUGGGACCAAGAUGUCGCAGGUUCAAAUCCUGUCACCUCGACCA
rnacentral:tRNA from 1 species